rnacentral:lncRNA from 1 species
CGAAUUAUUCGCGAAUUCCGUUUAAUUCGCGAAUAAUUCUUUUUACCCAAAAAAACGCGAAUUUUUCCGAAUUUUUGGGAAAAAUACGAAAACGGGAGUUUUAUUCGGCAUUUCAAAAAUUCGCGAAUAAUUCGCGAAUAAUUCGCGAAUUAACUAACUAUGAACCAUACAUGAAUUGAGCCUUUCUGAUUCCAGAAUAAAAUGAAAAUCGAAAUUCGUUUUCCAUAAAAUAAACAAUAACUAUUAAAAUUAAUAAACUUCAUUUCGAUUCCAUAGUUUAAAAUAGAUAAACCAAAAAAAUUCUUAAUCAGAAACUCUGAGACCAUAAUAAAAGUGUCAUCAUAUUUGUGUUAAGAAAAGUGAGGCUUUGAACUUAGGGCCCGUUUGGUUCGAGUUAUGUAAUAUUACAAAGUAUCUCGACAUAUCCAGAUAUUUUGAAUUUCGGCGUGAGAUUACUACUAAUGCUGCAUUAGCGCGUUUGGCUUAAUGCAAUAAUGUAAUACUAGAUUACAGUGUUUAUAGCAUUAAUACGUUUGGUUCAGUUUAUAAAAUUUAGUAAUCCUGACAUAAAAAUUAGUUUUUUUUCAAAAUUGUCCUUGUCGUAGUCAUUUGAAUAUUAUUUUUUACGGAAAUGACGAAUGGAGGGAAGACCUGGGAGGACGACGCAAUAGAAGAUAGGUGUUCGUGCGAGAGAGAGAAAAAGAUAGAGAUAGAGAUAGAGAGAGAGAGAGAGACGUGGAGAGAGAGAGAGCAAGAGAAAGCGGCAUGCGAGAGAGAGGGGGAAGGCGAGAGAGAUGAAAAUAAUACAGUUAAUUAGAUUUGGGGUUGUUGGAGGGUAAAAUUGUCAUUUUACAUAAUAUGUAGUAUUAAUGGGUUUCAAUAAUGCAAGAUACACGACCCCCCUCUCGUUAAUAUUUUCGAUGUAAUACUGCUCGAUUUGUAAUGAUAUAUUAAUGACUAGAUUACAUAGCGGAUUAACCAAACACAAUUUAUCCCUGCCAGGAUAACUCGAACCAAACGCACCCUUAGAGGGAUAUGAAAAAGACAAGGAUAUUAGAGACAACGAGUAUUAGGCCAUCUUCAAUGUGACGCCUCAACUUUUCAGGGAGUCACUUAUUCUAGAACAACUCUCGUCUUGACACAUUUAACUCUUUUAACCUUUUGGGUUUAUCCACCACCAGCAAUACUUAAGCUGGGUUAAAAGUUUUAAUUCUGUUAUAUCUUAUAUAGGACUAUAUGGGGUCUCAGAUCC